rnacentral:tRNA from 1 species
GCAGGAUAGCUCAGUUGGUUAGAGAAUGGUGCUGAUAAUGCCAAGGUUGCAGGUUCGAUCCCCGUAAGGGACAGCUGCA